GGAUUGUGGCUCAGUGGUAGAGCACUUGUCUCCCAUGUGUGAAACCCUGGGUUCAAUCCUCAGUACCA
rnacentral:tRNA from 1 species